rnacentral:sRNA from 1 species
CACACCCUGCAGUGUUCGAGGUGCUUUCAAUAACUGCUCACUGCCUUGGAAUAAUUACGGGAGCCAAAAACUUCGCGGAGGAUGUCAGGCCGUAAACCGGAAGACAGAGGCCGCGGAGCGGCGCCCACCUUAACCUAAAAAGGUCUUGAGCCUUUGGGCAUACGGCACAGGCGGGGUGUCC